rnacentral:lncRNA from 1 species
CUAGGACCACCCAAGUCCAUGAAUAGAAUCGCCCCGGUCGUCAUCUUACCAUAUGGUUACUAUGUGCAUUAUACAUCUUAAAAAAUUUAUGGUAUUUUGGAGUAUAAUAUUUUUUUAACGCUUUUAGCGAUUCAAUUUUUAGUAAAAAAAUAUAAAAAUAAAGAUUUAACAGUUUUGAAAGUCCGAAAUAUCUCCUACUUCAGAUCACUAGAGUUUUUUUUUUUUUUUUUUUUUAUACUUUUACUAAUGAAUAACAUUAUUGUUCAUUAACAUUAGAACGAAAGUGAAUUUACUCCCUUUUUCUGUCUUCGGUUAGUAUUUGUCUAAUAAUUAUGUUUGAUUGACAUAACACUAAGGUUUGAAAAAAAAAAAGAUUAAAAAUUUGAUGGGCCAACUAAUUGUAAUGAUCCUCGUCACUUCAUACGAGCCUUUAUUUAGCAACCGAAUUUUGUUGCGUUAUUAUUAUUUUUUUUCUAACAUUCAGACAAAGAUC